CCCGCGUGGCCAGUUGGCAAGUGCUGCCACCUGCUGGCCUCAGGCAGGAGUGUGGCGGCUAAGGGGGCUCAGGGGGGCCGGCGGGACGGGGCGGGGCGGGGCGGGGCAGAGGGCGCGGGAGCCGGAUGGCAGGUGCCUCUCAGGUCCGCAGGGAUCCCUCUCAGGUCUUCAGGGGCCUCUCUCAGGUCGGGGGAUGAAGGGCGAUUCCUUUUCAUUUCUGUUUCUUUUUUUAAAACUUGGAGCAUGAAAGAUAUCUUGGGAACUGCUGUAACCUAAGAAAGAGGGACGCCUGCGCUGUAGCCUGGAGGAGCCCAGGGGACACCCUCAGGAGACCCAGAAUAGCUUUUUGCAGACGGGGCGGGCGAGGAAGGCCCCGGGCGGGGUGCUGGACAUUGCUGGUUCAGAAGGUUCAAGUGAAGUCUCCCACAGAGCAAGCUCUGAAAGCCCUGCUGUGGAAAGGACAAAGGUUUUGCCUGGAAUUGGCACUGUCUUUUGAGGGCAAUUUUAAAGAUGCUGCCUGUUUGAAAUGGAUGUGGAACCAGCUGUCAAGGUCAGGGCUGUGAGCUAGAAGCCUUCUCCACGUUGGUAAGGAGCCCGAAUACCACCUGGCACCCCACGUAGGCGGCUGACUGAGCCCAUUCCCUCGGUGCAGACAUUUACUUACUUACCAUAAGAAAGUCAGCACACUUUAUGGCUGGGAUCUAACAAGGCCUAAGGAGACAUCUGCUCUGCGUGCAUCGGUGUCGGUCUUCUGACUGAACCAGCAGAGCGCAUCUUCCGGGCCCGGGAUGGUGUCCAUGAGGGAUUUUCAGUAAAUUUUAACUCUUCAGUAUUACCACUGGGUGACCAGAGCAGAAGACAAGCCAAUAUCACAUCCUCUACUGCCAAGGACAUUUUCAACGGAAACUUUGGGAUUUCUCUUGAAAGAUCCUGAGAUCCUUUGCCAACAUGAGGUAUCACAGCCUUCUCUGCCCCUUCCCUACUGUUCAGCAAGAGCAAUCAUUCUGCAAAUUUAUGCCCUGAAAGCAGAAUGCUAGUCCAGUAGCCCCCUAAAGUAGAUAUUUUUAAGUUACUCAUUACAUAGGUAAUGCGGGUUCUGAAUAUUUGACAUUAAAGAAUGUACAGAAGGUAUUUGGGGCUGGAACGAAUGACUUAAUGUGAGAACCCACACCGCCCGCACCCGCUACAUCUGUCACCAGCUCUACCUCUAAACACCUGGUGCAGCUGCCCCCAUCUGGCCGUCUCCGCCCCACCUUUGCCCGUUCUUCCACCUCGAAACAAGUCUAGAAGUUGAUACUACUUUUUUAGGCUAACAAAACCAAGAAAAACAAGGUUUCUAAAACUGGCAAUGAGUUUAAACAGGAAACUGGUGGCCUUCUGUUUAAAAUGAGAAGGAGUUCGGCAAGGU